CAAGGCCUAUGAUGAUUUAAAUAUUUGCCUACAUUGUCUGAUUGCUCUAGUUGAAGAAUCUUUUGUACUAAGACUGAGGCCUUG